GGAUUUUAUAAAUGUUGACUUAUUACUCAGCAAGUGAUUCAAUAAUUCUACCAUACCUGGCUUAAGCAGUUGGAUUUGGGUGAUUGCUCUUUUUAAACAAGCAAGUCUAGAAGCAAAUGGAGAAAUAAUAUAUUUGUGAUACUGAGAAUUAAAAUUUGUUAGGACUUCAUCUGAUUAUGCUGGGAAGUGUUCAGAAGAAGAGAGUUCAGUCUAACUCCAUUACGUAAUAAAAUUGAGUUUUUCCCUACCUUUUAAUCACACUGUUUAGUGCACUCAAUUGUCUUGAAUAUUUUUCACUGAAGAGGUUUCCACACUGCAGGCAUUUGUCCCCGCCCACCAUCCCUCUCGGUGCUUUUUGGUACUUCCCACAAUUCCUAACAGCAGGGAGGGAGAGAAAGAAAAGGGAUGGGAGGGAAAUCCAUUUGGAAGGGCAACAGCACUGGCCCUCCCAACACAGGACACAGACAAAUCAUGGAAGGAAGGAAUAAAGGAAAGAAGACCUGCCUGUUUCUUUACUAUCUGAACUUGCUUCCUUUCCUUGGUUGACUACAGUACCAAAGUCAUUUGUGUGACGUUAGGCAACAGAUGAUUAAUAUUUUUGAAGAGGUGAGGUCCCAAGAUUUCUGCCUUAUGAAUGUACCUUGCUGACUUCAAGAAACCUUUCGGGCACACCCUCCUUAUCUGGAACUCCAACCAUGCGAAGAAUGCAAGGGGGAGAAAUAAACUUCCUUCAUAGAAACCUAAUAAACCUGGAGUGAUAAAACCAUCCACAUGAUGAGUAUAAGCACUCAGAGUUCAACUGGACAGCUUUUGCGUCUCAGAAGCAAGUCAAUUCGACUGACAAGAAAAUCCUCUCCGUGUGAUCUGUAUAGAGUUUGGAAAAGUUACUUUUUUAAAUAUAGUAGAGUCUCACUUAUCCAACGUUCUGGAUUAUCCAGCGCAUUUUUGUAGUCAAUGUUUUCAAUACAUUGUGAUAUUUUGGUGCUAAAUUCGUAAAUACAGUAAUUACUACAUAGCA